CUGUCGCCGUGCUUAACACACGCAAGUCGAACGAUGAUCUCCAGCCUGCUGGGGGGAUUAGUGGCGAACGGGUGAGUAACACGUGAGUAACCUGCCCUUGACUCUGGGAUAAGCCUGGGAAACUGGGUCUAAUACCGGAUAUGACUCCUCAUCGCAUGGUGGGGGGUGGAAAGCUUUUUGUGGUUUUGGAUGGACUCGCGGCCUAUCAGCUUGUUGGUGAGGUAAUGGCUUACCAAGGCGACGACGGGUAGCCGGCCUGAGAGGGUGACCGGCCACACUGGGACUGAGACACGGCCCAGACUCCUACGGGAGGCAGCAGUGGGGAAUAUUGCACAAUGGGCGAAAGCCUGAUGCAGCGACGCCGCGUGAGGGAUGACGGCCUUCGGGUUGUAAACCUCUUUCAGUAGGGAAGAAGCGAAAGUGACGGUACCUGCAGAAGAAGCGCCGGCUAACUACGUGCCAGCAGCCGCGGUAAUACGUAGGGCGCAAGCGUUAUCCGGAAUUAUUGGGCGUAAAGAGCUCGUAGGCGGUUUGUCGCGUCUGCCGUGAAAGUCCGGGGCUCAACUCCGGAUCUGCGGUGGGUACGGGCAGACUAGAGUGAUGUAGGGGAGACUGGAAUUCCUGGUGUAGCGGUGAAAUGCGCAGAUAUCAGGAGGAACACCGAUGGCGAAGGCAGGUCUCUGGGCAUUAAC
rnacentral:rRNA from 1 species